GACGAACGCUGGCGGCGUGCUUAACACUUGCAAGUCGAACGGAAAGGCCCUGCUUUUGUGGGGUGCUCGAGUGGCGAACGGGUGAGUAACACUUGAGUAACCUGCCCUUGACUUUGGGAUAACUUCAGGAAACUGGGGCUAAUACCGGAUAGGAGCUCCUGCUGCAUGGUGGGGGUUGGAAAGUUUCGGCGGUUGGGGAUGGACUCGCGGCUUAUCAGCUUGUUGGUGGGGUAGUGGCUUACCAAGGCUUUGACGGGUAGCCGGCCUGAGAGGGUGACCGGCCACAUUGGGACUGAGAUACGGCCCAGACUCCUACGGGAGGCAGCAGUGGGGAAUAUUGCACAAUGGGCGGAAGCCUGAUGCAGCAACGCCGCGUGCGGGAUGACGGCCUUCGGGUUGUAAACCGCUUUCGCCUGUGACGAAGCGUGAGUGACGGUAAUGGGUAAAGAAGCACCGGCUAACUACGU
rnacentral:rRNA from 1 species